GUUUGGUUUAGGUAAUCUGAGAGGCUAAGUAAUAUAAGAUGACUGCCACGUAUGAAAUGGGGUAUGUUUGAGGUAAUCUGAUUACCAAGUUUUGGUUAGGUAAUGUGAGAUUACUUUUUAAUAUUCCAAAAUUGCCCUCAACUAUCCUUCUUUUAUUCAUCAGACACAGACAAUACAUGAUGCUGGGAAAUGGAAAUUGAAUGGAAAAUUAAAUGGUGAUUGAUAAAACUAGAUUGCAUCUUAACAGUACGUACUUUUAUGCAUUCCAUUAUUAUUAUUGUUGACAGGAUAAUUGGGCAUCCGACCCGGAAUCACUGGCAGGACCCAAAAGCAAAA